GGACCGGUAACUCAGUGGUAGAGUGCGGGAUUGCAGUGCGCGAGCGCAAACAUCCUGAAGUCAGGCGUUCAAACCGCCUUCGGUCCU